CUUUAAGUUUCAGACUUGCGUCCGUACUUCCCAGGCGGCAAACUUAACGGCUUCCCUGCGGCACUGCAUUGGCCAUAAGCCAAUGCAUCACCGAGUUUGCAUCGUUUACAGCUGGGACUACCCGGGUAUCUAAUCCGGUUUGCUCCCCCAGCUUUCAUCCCUCACCGUCGAACGUGUUCUGGCAGACCGCCUUCGCCACUGGUGGUCCUCGGAGGAUCAGAGGAUUUUACCCCUACCCCCCGAAUACCGUCUGCCUCUCCCACUCCCUAGCUCUGUAGUAUCUCCAGCGGCCCAUCUGUUAAGCAGGUGGAUUUAACCGGAGACUUGCAUAGCCGGCUACGGAUGCUUUAGGCCCAAUAAACGUCCUGACCACUCGAGGUGCUGGUAUUACCGCGGCGGCUGACACCAGACUUGCCCACCCCUUAUUCUCCUGUGCUUUUAGGACA
rnacentral:rRNA from 1 species